rnacentral:rRNA from 1 species
GACGGAGGGGGCAAGCGUUGUCCGGAUUUACUGGGCGUAAAGGGCGCGUAGGCGGUCCUUUAAGUCGCCGGUGAAAUCGCUCGGCUUAACCGAGCAAUUGCCGGCGAUACUGGAGGACUUGAGUCCGGGAGAGGAGAGUGGAAUUGCCGGUGUAGCGGUGAAAUGCGUAGAUAUCGGCAAGAACACCAGUGGCGAAGGCGGCUCUCUGGACCGGUACUGACGCUGAGGCGCGAAAGCUAGGGGAGCGAACGGG